rnacentral:rRNA from 1 species
GGCGAACGGGUGAGUAACACGUGGGUGAUCUGCCCUGCACUUCGGGAUAAGCCUGGGAAACUGGGUCUAAUACCGGAUAGGAGCCAUUUUUAGUGUGAUGGUUGGAAAGUUUUUCGGUGUAGGAUGAGCUCGCGGCCUAUCAGCUUGUUGGUGGGGCAAUGGCCUACCAAGGCGGCGACGGGUAGCCGGCCUGAGAGGGUGGACGGCCACAUUGGGACUGAGAUACGGCCCAG